GCUUGUCUCAAAGAUUAAGCCAUGCAUGUGAUCAGUGCAGUCCUUGUACGACGAAACUGCGAAUGGCUCAUUAAAACAGUUAUCGUUCAUUUGGUAAUCAUCUACUACAAGGAUAACUGUAGUAAUUCUAGAGCUAAUACGUGCACCAAGUCCCGACUCUUGAAGGGAUGUAUUUAUUAGAUUAAAGACCAAUGCGGGCUUGCCCGGUAUUGUGGUGAAUCAUAAUAACUCCUCGAAUCGCAUGGCCUUGCGCCGGCGAUGUUUCAUUCAAAUUUCUGCCCUAUCAAUUUGAUGGUAGGAUAGAGGCCUACCAUGGUGGUAACGGGUGACGGAGAAUUAGGGUUCGAUUCCGGAGAGGGAGCCUGAGAAACGGCUACCACAUCCAAGGAAGGCAGCAGG
rnacentral:rRNA from 1 species